rnacentral:misc_RNA from 1 species
GAUGAAGAACGUAGCGAAAUGCGAUAAGUAGUGUGAAUUGCAGAAUUCAGUGAAUCAUCGAAUCUUUGAACGCACAUUGCGCCCCUUGGUAUCCCGAGGGGCAUGCCUGUUCGAGCGUCAUUUCACCACUCAAGCCUGGCUUGGUGUUGGGCGACGUCCCCUUUGGGGACGCGCCUCGAAACGCUCGGCGGCGUGGCACCGGCUUUAAGCGUAGCAGAAUCUUUCGCUUUGGAAGUCGGGGCCCCGUCUGCCGGAAGACCUACUCGCAAGGUUGACCGCGGAUCAGGCAGGGAUACCCGCUGAACUUAAGCAUAUCAAUAAGCGGAGGA